CGUGAAGGAUGUACAAAAGAGACGAAAUGGGGUUGAAUGGAAUUCACUUAUACUUGACGAUGCCCUAUUUUUAUUGCUUUUAAAAGUAUCUAUUACAUGUAUCAAUACGAUUUUUUUUGCACAUGUACAUAUAAAUUUAGCAGACCCGGUCAUUUUGUAUUUCACAAGACAAGUUAAAUGAAGGAAAUGAUCAUAUACAGUAUAUUUGGCAUGUCAAGGGACAAACGGAUGAAGCAAAUAAAACAGACAGAAAAAAAUCAAACCAUAGAAACUGGGGGCA
rnacentral:lncRNA from 1 species